AUUUUUAUUCUUCUUUUGCUUGUGUCUUUUUUUGUAGAAAUCUUGGUUGCAAUUUACUCACAGAACUGAGCUUUGGAACGUUUCAGGCCUGGCAUGGAAUGCAGUUUUUACACAAGUUAAUUCUCAAUCAUAAUCCUUUGACAACAGUUGAAGAUUCUUAUCUUUUUAAAUUGCCAGCAUUAAAAUAUUUAGACAUGGGAACAACACAAGGGUCACUUACAACAAUUGAAAGCAUCCUCAUGACGACCCUUGAAUUGGAAAAACUCUCCCUCUGGAGGAAGCCAGCCAUCAUGUAGUGAGGACAUUCAAUCAAGUAGCAGGUGGACAGGUCCAUGCAGGGAGGAAAGGAGGCCUCCCUCUAACAACCAGCACCACCCUGGCAGCCAGGUAAGGGAGUGAACCACCUUGGAAGUGGACCCUGCAGCCUCAGUCCAGCCAUCAGAUGACUGCAGCCCUGGCCGAUAUCUUGAGGACCUCGUGAGAGACCCAGAGCCAGAACUGCCCAAGCUAUUCCCCUAAAGGCUUGACUCAGAAAUUGUGAGGAAUAAAUGUUUAUUGUUGUUUUGAGCCAC